rnacentral:rRNA from 1 species
UACAGAGGUCCCAAGCGUUGUUCGGAUUCAUUGGGCGUAAAGGGUGCGUAGGCGGCGCGGUAAGUCGGGUGUGAAAUCUCGGGGCUUAACUCCGAAACUGCAUUCGAUACUGCGGUGCUUGAGGACUGGAGAGGAGACUGGAAUUCAUGGUGUAGCAGUGAAAUGCGUAGAGAUCAGGAGGAAGACCAGUGGCGAAGGCGGGUCUCUGGACAGUUCCUGACACUGAGACACGAAGGCCAGGGGAGCAAACGGG